AUAUUAUGCAUGCACCUUGACCUUAUAGCUAAUUGGCAAUUGAUAAUACCGUGGUGCUAAACAUGAAAAAUUAAAUUUUUGUUUUUAUUUUGUGCUAAAUAGUAAGUUUAAUAAUGAUUUAAUAGCUGUCAGUUCUUGACGUUUUUGUAGGUAUAUAGAAAAAAACAUGUGUAUUUGAUUGCCAUUUGUUACGUUUAUGUACAGAAGAAAACAUUAAUAACUAUCAUAAUUAACAAUUACCUAUGAAUGCAAUUAAUCGCUAUCCAGCGGCAACACAUAGAACACGACACCCAGCAGCAGCAUAUAUAGCUUAAAUUAAUAAGUAUUCAUAUCGUAAUAAUUAAUAGUGUAUCAAUUUUAUUUAUUUACAGUUAAACAAGGAUUUAUAUAUUUGUUUCCACACAGCAAUAUUGCUUUGGAAAAUUUAUUAGUGUACAAAUAUGGUAUGGAGUGAAACGUUGGUUAGAUCAAAAGUUAACAUUGAAGAUAUAAAAGUUCUGAGUUCUACAAUAAAUGGAUUGUUUGUAUGAAUAUAUAUACACAUUUUUUUAUAGAAUGCAAUUUAUCGCUAUCCAACGACAACACACAGAACACGUUACCCAUUCCACACAUUCAUCUUCCUGGUGACAACGGUGUUUAUCGGAGUGACAGUUACAGUAUAGGCAUAUGUUUGUCAUGUCUUCAGAAUUUUCCAAGAGAUAGGUCUUAAAUUUUCUCUGUGAAUGUUAGGAUCAAACUCUAAACUAAACUUAGAACUGUCCAUAAUUGUAAAUGCAUAAUAUAUAAUAUAAACUCCACAAUUAAAUGUA